AUGGAUGGAUAUUGACUAAUAUUAAACCUCCAUUAACACAAACAUUUAUCAGGUUCAGUUUGUGUUCAGCAGCUUUUCAAAGAACAUUUAAAGAUCUUACAGUCCUGGUUUUGACUCACACAGUGUUUCUGUUUUUGCUCUGAUCUUUAGUGUAACUGUAAUAAAAUGAUUAAUGUGAGCCUGGCUUGUUUUUUUCUUUAGGUACUGAUGACGUCUAUGAAUCAGUCACACAAGUGAAAAACAGAAAUGGUUCAGAUGAAUAUGAUGACGUCACCUCAUCUCUUAUUGAGUUUAAAGAUCUUAGAACUAAGAAUACAGAGUCUGUCUGCGCCUUCUAAACAAAUCCUAUAAGGUGGGACAGGCAUGAGGGGCAGCCAGUGACCCCUCACACACGUCCUUAUGCUGAUAUCCAGGCAGGUUCUCA
rnacentral:lncRNA from 1 species